GGAUCCAAGCCAUGUCUGCAACCUACACUACUACACCACAACUCAUGGCAAUGUUGGAUCCUUAACCCCCUGAGCAAGACCAGGGAUCGAACCCACAUCCUCAUGGAUACUAGUUGGGUUUGUAACCUGCUGAGCCACAAUGGGAACUCCCUCCCUUAUUAUUCUUUAAGUAAAAUACACUUCUUGUCUUGUCUGUCUGGCCUGCUGUAACACAAUACCACCGAAGAUAUCUUAUAAGAAAUAGAGCUUAGGUGUUCUUGUGAUGGCUCAGUGGGUUAAGAAUCUGACACAGUAUCCAUGAAGAUGUGGGUUCAAUCCCUGGCCUUGUUUAGUGAUGGAGCAUUGCUGUAGUAGGUCACAUAUGCAGCUUGAGUCUUAUAUUGCUGUGGUGUGGUGUAGGUCAGCAGUUGCAGGUCUGAUUCAGCCCCUAUCCCAGGAACUUCUAUAUGCUGCAGGUGUGGCCCUAAAAAGAAAAAAAAAAAAAAAGGACUUAUUUUUCACACUUCCAGAGGCUUGAUGUCGAAUUUCAGGAUGCUAGCAUGUUCAAGGGCGAGGGCCCCCUUCCAUGUUUCAGUCUCCUCAUUUUAUCUUCACAUUGAGGGAGGGCCUAGGGGUCCCUCUGGAUCCUAUUUUAUGAGGGUGCUAAUCCUAUUCACGAGGGCUAAUUACCUCUCAAAGACCCCACUUCCGAAUACCAUCACAUUGGACACUAGGAUUUACCCAAUGAAUUUGAGGAGGGGGUGGGGGACACAAACGUUAAACUAUAGCACUUCCUUAAACUUAGAGCCUUUAUAGUAGCUGUUCUCUGCUUGGAAUAUUUUUCCCCUACAUCUUUUUAGGUCUAAGUUCUUUCUUAUCAUUCCUGAAAUUUAAUGUCCCUUUUUCAAAGGAGUCUUCCCAGGCCAAAUCAAUGUAAUGUUUCUCAUCAGUCAUUCCCUGACUCAUGGCUCUUAUAUUUUCACUUCAGUACUUAUCUCUGCCUGAUCUUUUCUGGUUUACUCAUUAUCUGCAUAAACCCUAAAAAGCUAGCUCUAUGAAGUGAGAGUUUGUUACUCUCUGACUCGCUACAGAAUCCUAGGUGGCUAGAAUCAUCCCUGGUAUUUAGUAAGCAUUCAGUUAACGUUGAAUGAGAUGCAUAUCAGAAAGGUUAUCAAUGCUGGAGGGGAUUAAGGUGAUGAUUUUGGAUAUCUAGAAAUUUAAGGAAAAGGCCUGGCCCUUAGUCACUGAGGGCCUAGGUUAUUGGAUGUUAUAAUAACAAAGUCUUAGCAUCAUCGAAGGGGACAAGAACCUCAUAAGAGGUUGAAAGUAAAUAUGGAGGCAGGUUUUGGGGCCAAAUUCGUAGAUGUCCCAAAGCAAUUAGAGUAUAGAAUAUAAGUUAUUGGAACAUAAGAUCAGAACUAAAGCUGAAACAAUGGUUUCCUGAGGCCAAGUAUGAGAACUAGGCUGAAAAAAAUGGCCAGGAUUUGUUCUGCCUCUCAGUGGAAGUCCAUUGUUCACCAUUAAAUGAACAACAAAUGAAGCCUAACAACACUGGAGCUGAGUCAGGUAUGGGCCAGAUGAGGUAAAACCUACAACUUCCAACUGCUUUGGCAAAGAUAAGACUUGGCUUUCUGAUACACUCUUACAAUAAUUUUCUAGUGAAUCAGCUCUAGGAAACUAGGUCCUUUCCAACAAGGCCAGCUUCAAAUUAGGUUUAAAUUUCCUUGAAUAUAGGUUUAAAUUUGAAUGCACUAUUUAAAAUGAUCUGUUAUGACAUCAAUGGUGUUACAGUGCUGUAAUGAAGAAGAAACCUUAGCCAAUGGGGGCCUGUGAAUUACCCACAUCAUCUAGCCAUAAGGACUAGGCAGGGAGGAUGUCCAUGAUGAAGCCAUUUUUGUCUUCUGUACCUUUUCCACCUUACCAGCAAUUAAAACACUUCAUGAGGGCAUCCUAGUCCAAUUUAGAAUUUAAGGAAUGCAUAUCAUCUAGGCAUAAUGAAUGUCAUAUGAAAAAAAUAAAAACUAAACCAGGAAGACUAUCUGUUAGACAAACAGGGAGUCUUGGAAGUCACUCUGUUAGAACUAUUGUCUUCAUGAAUUUUCCACAGGCUGUAGAAUGCUCAAGAACAGUGUCCUUGCAGGGGUGGGGUAGGGUGUCUUUGUAACUUUCUCGUAACAUUAGCUUCAUAUCAGCAGCCAAAGAUCUGUGAAAAUCUUCUUUUAAGGCUUACAGUUAUUGUUCUCAAAGAUAGGGUCUGUUAGGCAUCUUCUCCCGGGGUGUAGCUUGUGUCAUAGAAGUUAUUUCAGCAUUUUUCAUCCUCUCUGACUUUCCUACAAAUUCCCCAUUGUUCUUGUUAGUUGCAUAUUUUGAAAAUGAAAACCAGUCGGGUUUAGGAAUAGACCUUCUGUAUGUUUGUGUCUAUGGGUGUAAAUGUGAAAUAAAUGUAUAGAAUGCAUGGUGGCUGAUAUUUUGUGUCAUUUAUCUUCACUUGUGAGGGGAAAUAAGUCGUUCAUAACUGUGCCAGUCCUGGUCCAUUCUUCAUCAUUACACUCAUGAAGAUAAAUGCCACAUUUACACAGACCACAGCUAUCCCGUGUCCUUUCCCACUGGAAAUCUAGAUUAGUUAGAGCAGGAGGUCAACCAGCUACUGUCAUUAGAAAAUCAAAGACACUUGGUAUGUACUAUCUCCU
rnacentral:lncRNA from 1 species